UCCACAGGGAGUUUAAUGAUCAGCAAUGAUGGUUGUAUCUGGGCUGGGAAGGUCCUGCCUUGGACUUGACGUUCCUGUUGGGCUGCAUCCACUGAUUAUGAUGAUUAUUUUCAGCAGCUUUAUUGCACUGGCGAUAAACACAGACGUUCUUCUUAUAAACAACAAGAAACUUUGAACCUUUUAAACACUCCCUAAACUGUGGAGAACUUGUUAAGCUGGUAACCCUCAGCGAGGAAGCAAAGUGCAAAGUGCUGCCAGCCUUGCAUUACUCACAGGUCCUUGCAAGUGGCAUCUGAGUUUUCCUGGUUCACCAGUGACCAGUGAGGGGUGCUCUGAAGGUAUUUUCUGUUCCCAUCAAGUUGGUGGAGAAGCCCAACCUGCCAGAAGUAUCAAGGAGCUUCUUGUCAGAGGCAAGUCUGACCUUUGGGAGUUGCAAAGGAAGGGAGGACACACUGGGCCUGUCUUCAUAACUCAGGGGUGAGGCUCUUCUGGCCAGGAUUGGUGGCCAGCCUUUGACAGUCAGUGAAGCUCUUAGCAGUACAGGCAGGGAAUCCUUGAGCCAAAGUAAUAUGGUCCUAAAAUAAAUGUCAAAAGUACCAUGGGCAGAUGCUUUCAGGGCACAGUUUAUUUCCCUGCCCUGGGGGAGCAGGGAGUGGGUCAGGCAAGUGGGCAGGAACAGUGUCAGUCAGAGCUGGAUCUUGGGAAAGCCUUGGUGAAAUAACGAGCAGAGCUGAUCAGUGUGAGCAUGGGGCUUUAGUGUGUCGGUUUCUGCUUCUCUUUUCCUCAUGUGCAAGUUUUAAUUAUAAACUGGGCUUUUCUUUCACCCAUCUAAGUGAAGCCACUGUACUCAGGGACACAUAGCAAGACAGUCUCUUCACAAAUAGAGAUUUUUAUGCCGAAAAGUAAACUCAUAAAAUUGUAUGUGUGAGAUGGAGUAAAUCUGUGCCACCCUUGGGAGGCACACUGUCACCCCUUCUGGAGCUUGGUUUUUGAAAAGACAGCAGGCCAGCAUUUUUUAAUUUCUAAAUUCUUCCCAUCCAGAUAACAGGGACAAAAAGGGCAAAAGCAAAGACACAGUGCUCACAACUCACAGGCUACUCCCACUGUGCAUUUCUCUCCUGUCUGUCCCAGAGGGCUUGAAUUUUCUCAGUGACAGCCAGACAAGAUGUGCCAAGGAGAGUGAGCAGGACUGGGAGUGCAGCGAGCUCUAUUUGUCAUUCCUGGGGUGGACUCAUUUCAGGGAGCAGGUUGAGAAAGUUUAGCCUGAUUUAGGCGGUCAGGAGGGAUCUGGCUUAGCUUUGCAAGGCAGAAAAAGGGGAUGCAUUUCCCAGCAUCAGGUUAGGCAAACCACUGAGGUGGAGGUGGGAGGGGCAGGUUGGCUGCGAGUCAUUUUGUAUCUGCACGAAAAUGGAAUUCAAAACAUUCCCUCUAGAGUGGUAUCCAAUACCAAAAUUGGAUUUGGGAACUCAGAGUACAUGAAUAUUUGUGCUGUCAAUAAGAGUUAUCUGUAUACAGAACCCUUUCCUUGUCUGCUUUCUCUACCAUGCUUCCUUCUUAAUUCAUUUUCAGUCUUUAAUGUACUGUUGUGUAGCAUCCUCUCCCAUUAGGCCCUGUAAUGUGCUCCGAUUGCCUUCAGCUUGACUGCACUUAAUAGCCAGCGUAAAUAGAACUUAGUGUAGCAUGCACUAACAUCUCUAUCCAUUGUCCAGAGAUUAAAUACAUGCCACAAAUGGUUUACGCAUCAUCAGCCUCGAGCCCUCGUUUCAUAGCUCCCAACCAAAAGAGGAUAUUAAAUUAAUUUGCAGGUUGCUUUAGCAAGGCCUAACAAAAAGAGGGGGGAAAAAAAUCCUGAGGGUCACUCUGCAUAUAAUAUCCAUCAAUCAAGAAAGAGGGGUGGAAAAUGAUAAUAGCAGGUCAUUAUAAGGGGACAGGUGCAGGCAUAUUUAGCUCGAUGUCUAGUUCAGGUCAAAGCUUAAUGGUGUUAACGGGGAGGAACGCAGGCUAUGCGAGCAGUGUGGAUGUGUGUAACCAAGAGGCAAAAGGGCAGCUCUGUAACAGGACAGCACUGCCUCGUCCAGAUCUUCAUGUUUAACCCUUUACUCUGCCCAGACAAGAGCUGUUGAGCAGCACUCAGCUUAUGAAAGGAAGGGAAGGAGCAAGGCAGAGAUCUCCAACUCCUGUCCUGCAGCAGCUUGUAGCAUUCAAAGUCAGCAAGGAGGCAGGGGUAGGGCAGUGAAAAUGAAAUUGCACACUGCCAGGGUUCAGAUUGCCAGGACCUGGUGUCCUGUUAUCAUGGGUAGGGGUUUUGUCAAGCAGCAGGAAAUGCAAAAAGGCAGGAAGGAGAUCUGUGAGCAGCAGAGAACAUGGGCUAACAGAGAUGAACAGUGAUCUUCACAAGGGCCAGGACUGAGAGAACUGGGGAAACAAUGGCAAGGCCACAUCUCAGCUACUAAAACAAGAACUGUGACUAAAAUAGUGAGAUGUAUUUAAAGUGAAGUGAGGCUGAUGAGGUUGAGAGGAUAGGACAGAGUUCUUGACUUACUGUUAUGAAGGAAAGUACUUCAUGGAUGUGGACUGCACACAGACACUGUGUGCCUGCCCUGCUUGCCAGGCUACACUUUUAGCUCAGGGAUUGGGACAGACAUGGAAAAUGAGAAAUCUUCAGUCACACUUGUGGGUUCCUAUAAACAACUGGGAAGACACACUUAGGUUUAAAGGACCAACUGAAAAUUAGGCUACUCGCUUUGUGGCUGUGGCAAGUAACGUCACCCAGGUGUGCAACUCUUUUCUCUUUAAGUUUGAUAGCAAUCCACAGAGGUGAAGGAAAAUAUCAGUGAUUAUCACUAUGUUUCAUAUGCCAGCAUCAGGAUUUUGCAAGGUCCUGUUGGUGAAUAAUAAAUCACUGCAUCGCUUCUGGAGUGAUGUGGCUCAGUGCCACGUUCCCUUGUUUUCUGGGGAAGUGUGUUUUCAGGUGCUGCAAUCUGUAGUCUUCAUGAGGAAAUGAUCCAAAUCCUCCCCCAAGCCCACAAUAACACACUUUGAGUGACAUGGAUCGUUUUUCUGAGGCUCACAUAAACAGCAGAAGCUGAAUGGAUGGGGAAAGAUAGAAAUUUAAUCCUGACCUGCUACAGAGCAACUUCAGCCAGCUCCUGCUCCAGUUUUCACUCCAAGCAGAUGCUCAAUCCACGUGUUCAUGGGAGUGAGGGCCAGGGAAGGGAGAGGGAAGAGCCUGAUGGGGCUGGGCUGUGCUCGUGCUCCAGAACAAUAGAUGAUCACUCUUAAUUAUGGCAGCCUGAAUGAGCAUCGCUCUGCCGGCCCCUUUCCUCCUGCUAUCUGAUCAAUACAGUCUUAAUUGCCGAAGAAAGGCAGUAUCCUACACAAUCACAGCACAAUGGUUUAAUCACUUGGACGCUUAAAGUUAAUUUCAGGCAGUUCAUUUCUCAUUGCCUCCCACUCUGUCAGGCAUGGCUUUUCUCCUUGCACACACAGGUGCACGUGUGCUCGCAGCUAAAGGUGGGUUAUCAAUAGCUUUUAGUGAGAUUAUUUGAGCUAAUUGAAAAUGUGGGAAAUGUUAUUAUCAUGCAUAAGCUUAGAAGGGAUUUUCUUUUUGAAAGGGGGGUGCUAAAAGCAUUCAUUGACACACUUCUUGAGGCAAGAGAUAGAAAGCUCUUCUUUUUUAGGCCAUCUCCUCUACUGCUUUGGUUCUGGCCUGUCCAGACACUCUGGGGCUCCUUAGGUUAAUGGUCAGGUGCUGCAGCAGCAUUGGAACCUUAUGAACUUCUGGAGUGGGAAUUCACCUCUCCUUUCCAUAGCACCCAAUCCUCUCCAGCUCUUGGGGAUCCUCGGGCUCCUGGGCUGUGUCUCUGCAGGAUUGUUUUUGUGGCUGGCAGAGCGUGGCCACUUGAGAAGGUGUUGUUGAGAUCCAGAGUGAUCCUUGGCUUAAAGUAAGGGCAUAUCUGGCUUGCCAUGUGCAGAAUUUCUGCUGUUUCAGAUGUGCAGAUCCAGCUUGGAUCACAUUUUAUAGAUGAGAGUCUGCUGCAGCACCUUUUUGUUUUGAAUAUUGUCCAAUAGAUCCAGCUGGAAGCCUCAAGUUUGGGGCCUGUGAGACGCUGGCCACAGGAAGGAAAUUUGGGUGUUCCUCCUCCUUCACAGAGCUGAGCAUCACCACAGCAAAAGUACAGGCUUUCCAAAAGUCUCUUGUGAUGGUGAGUGCAGUUUCUGACCUUCACUUUGAGACUCCUGGAUCAAAUCCUCUCCUUUGCUUCCUUCCCCCACCCCAGCCAGAAAUUAAGGCACCAAAGCCAACUACAGCUUUUUGUAAAUUCCUUGAAUGCUGCUGACUUGUGGCUGCCUUAGAAAACCUAGAUGAAGAAAACAUGAGUAGAAAUAGUUCUGACACACAGGAACCUGGUCCAGUGGAGCUCUCAGGCAUCACUUUGGCUUGUGAGUGUGCCCAGACAUCUUUUAUCCUGGGUGUCAAUGAAUCUGUCACAGAGAGGGGCUGCCCCUUGCUGGGUGCCUGUGCUCAAUUAAGGAGAAUUUUUAUCCCUACCUGGGCACUGAGUGCAGGGAAAUCUGAUCUCACAGGUUCCAGGACACCAAGGAAUAGCUGAGAAAACACUCUGCUUGCAGGAUAAGGCAGCGUGGGAGCCAGUGCCAUACAAGUAAAAGGCCUGAGGAAAGGUGAACAGAGCUUUUCAGAGCUGUAAGAAAGUCAUCCCUGAGCAAUGAAAAUAUUCUGUCAAGAAUAUUGCUGAUGAUGGGAUGGAAAAUUUAUCUCAGUUUCGUUUUAGUCACCUCCAGAACUUUGUUCUGUAUUGGACUAUUGCCUACUGGGACAAAGCUUCUGGCUGGAGGCAGCCAGAAGUUUCUUCUGAAUGCUGGUCAGAUAAGGAAUUUCACAGGCUACACUGACUUUUUUUUUUUCCCCAGAAAAUAAUUUCCAGGAUAAAAAUUGUAUCCUGUGUUUUUGUUAUUAUUUUCUGGCUACUGCAUGUCUGAAAUAGCAGAUUUUGUUGCAGCUCUAUGUCCUGCAGAUCAUUUUUCCAUGAAGAAUAGCAGGCAAUGUUAGAAAUUUGAUAAGACUGGCUUUCUCCUUUGAUGAAUUCCUGCCCCAAAACUUAGGCAGAAGAUGAGGAAUUCAGCAUGAAGGAUACAGACCAAGAGAAAGGACCUGACAGAAGCACAGUCACUCCCUUUGUUGCAAUGCUUUAGGCUAACCAUUAUUCACAGCCCUUUCCUCAUAUUGCAUCUUUCAUGAUUUGCUUAAGCGAUUUUAAAUUGCUUUUGUGAUUUCAUUUAGCAGAGACCACAAUAAAAGUGACCCUUGAGUUUAUGAAAUGAAACAGCCUGCACAAAGGGACUGAGGGCCUCAGCAGUGUGUGGGGUGAUGGUUUCUGUGCUGCACGGGGUGUGUUUGCCUGGGACAAAGGGAUGAUAAAGGGCCUGCAAUGAAAUGGUGCAAGCAAGGAACAUUUCUAGCAGAGCAGCUGGUGUGAAACCAGUCCUGACCAGCUCUUUCCCGGUGCAAAUGAAGGGAAGAACUUUCCCAGACAGUCCAGAGCAUGCCCACCACCCAGACUUUUUCAUUAAAAAUAAGGUUUUGGGGUUUAUUUUUUGUUCCCUCCUCAAUGUUUUCCUUGACAAGGGAGGCAGCAGGCAAGUCACUGAAGGUUUUCAUCAGCAGAGCUCUUCAACAGGGGAGUUCAUAUAGCAAAAUGUCCAGGGCUCUGAGUUUAUGGCCAGGAGGAAAGCUGAUCUCAUUUUCCAGAUGCUGCCCAAGGUGUACCUCUUGUACCUCACCCUGCCCUGAGAUGUUUGGAGCAGUGCUGGGAUCAGGUGUUUGAUGUAGCACUGCAAGUCAGUAGAAAUCCUUGGGAAUGAGAAGGGUGAUGGAAAGAGUUGGCAUUGCUGAAAAAAACCAA